AGCCCUUAAAAUGGUAUGGCGCUAAAGCAUUCUCCCGAUACUCGACCGCCGGUGGCACAACAGGCCUAGCCAUGCAGGUCUUGAAGCCCCGGUGAGUAGGAGGGCCGCGGUGGUGAGCGCUGAAGGGUGCGGCGUGAGCCGGCCUGGAGCCGCCACUGGCGCAGAUCUUGGUGGUAGUAGCAAAUAGUCGAGAGAGACUCUACCUGGAAGACCGAUGUGGGGCAGGGUU
rnacentral:rRNA from 1 species